UGCUCUUCCCUCGUGCUCUGUGUUAGGAGGCAUGAGGGAUGAAGUGGAGAACAGACCACAGAAGCAGAAUGAAGUUGAAGAGCUGAGUGGCUGUUUAUCUAUCUUUGAAGUUAUGGAGCCUAUAGAGAAGAAUGGAUAAAACUUCCCAGGAUUACAUAUGAGAUGGGCAUCUAAGAAUUCUGUGAAUAAAGCAAUGAACAAAGAAGUUCCGUGAGCAAGGAUGAAAUCCAUAGCUGAAUUCCCACAACAACCAGCAAUGCAGAUGCAAAAGUCCAAACAGGAAUUGCAGGUGUGGCAAUGUUGCACACACUGUAUUGAAUUGUAGAAAACAGAAAAGAAUGUGGUGGAGGCAUACUGUAUCUUCAUUGCUAAAGAACAUAUAUUCCCACCACAAAUGUGCAGAACGUCACACAAGACUGACCUUUUUCUGCCUCCAAUUGUUCCUUUUCUGUCUCUAAUUGUUCUGUAAAGGAAACAAAAUUCAGAUGAAGCACAAGUUUAAAACGAAAAUGCAUCCCAAUAAAAUCAAGAGUUUGAAACAUUUGACAAAGUGAGAAACCUAGAAUAAAACAGCAGUCCUGAGUCAUGGAAGCCAGCGUAAUUUAAAUCUGCUUAGUUAAGAUGGCAUAAAGAAUGCUAGAUCCAAACCCCAUUCAGGAGCAAAGCUGCUGCUGGCUGAACUGGCCCAAGCUUGGCAGAGGGAAAACAAGUCUGUAAAAUGAAGUUUGACUUACACCACCCUUUUUUUGCUGGUGUAAAUUCAGCUGGGUUGCCAGGUCAUGUGACUGAGCUGAAGGGAGUUAGGAUUCAGCAUAAGUCCCCUCCCCCAUCCUGUCCUUGGAAUAACCAUUUUUCAGGGCUCACACUGGCGUAAGUUACGCUGGACAUGGUUAGCCAGCUUAUGUUGGCAUAGCCAGUUUAUGUUGGCAUAGCCAGCUGAGCCGGAAACCAGCUGGUUGAAACAGAGGUCCUCUAGAUCCUAACUCACUCAUCUGCAUGGAUAUUGGGUUUGGAUUUUACCUUGAGUAACUGCAACAUUGUUCAGCUGAAAACGGAAAGAUUUAACUAGACCUACCUUUUCCUGUUCCAUUAUUUUGAAAAGGAAAAAAGAUUGUUUUUCUGCUGCAGAAUAAAUUCUAAAAUAAAGCCACCAAGAAAUUAUGAAGUUUCCAGUGUGUGUUUCCCCCCCACAAAGAAAAGACAUGUUUUACUACUUCUUUACCAUUUCAUGAAUCUGGCUGCCUUUCUAUCCUUGUUCGGUCCAAACUCCAGUCAUUUACAUUUGAACAAUCCCAUUGUGUGUCUAGUAGGGAUGGAAAGAGCUGUCAUUUUUGGGUCUCUCUGUUUCACAUUUUUCCUAUCUUAAAGUCAGCUCUCCACAUUUCUGCAGCAAUUGGUGAUUUUUUUAAAAAAAAUCCUCAUGAAAAUUCUC